rnacentral:misc_RNA from 1 species
UGGCUCUCGCAUCGAUGAAGAACGCAGCGAAAUGCGAUAAGUAAUGUGAAUUGCAGAAUUCAGUGAAUCAUCGAAUCUUUGAACGCACCUUGCGCUCCUUGGUAUUCCGAGGAGCAUGCCUGUUUGAGUGUCUUGAAGUCAUCAACUCCACCCGUUUUUGAAACGGGUGUAUGUUGGAAGUGGGGGUCUGCUGCCGGCCCAUGCUGGCUGCUCCCCUCAAAUGCAUCGGUUGGGCCUGUGGGUCAAACUCGACUGGGCGUUGUACAAUCCUCGCUCCGACCGAGAUGUUCCCCCCUUUGCGUGCCCCACCUGGACCUGCCUUUAUUGGAGUGGCGGUCAAACUUUUGAAAUCUGACCUCAAAUCAGGUAGGACUACCCGCUGA